GGCAUAGCUCAGUGGUAGAGUGUGUGCUUAGCAUGCACAAGGUCCUGGGUUCAAUCCCCACGACUGCCA
rnacentral:tRNA from 1 species